GGAGAGCUGGGAUGAGGCUGGGAAGGGAAGGGAAAAGGGAUUUGUGGAGUUUUGGGAAUGGGGUGGGGUGGGAAUGGCCUGAGGGGCGGAGAGGGACGUCCCUGGGGGGAUUCUCGGGGUCCAGGUGUCACCAAACCCUGGGCAAGCUGUCCCAGGUGUCCCCAAGCCCUGGACAAGUGUCCCAGGUGUCCCCAAGCCCUGUCCCAGGUGUCCCAGGUGUCCCCAAGCCCUGGACAAGGUGUCCAAGAUGUCCCCAAGCCCUG